GCGGCAAUAGCUCAGUGGUAGAGCCAUCGCUUCGUAUGAGGUAGAACCGGGUUCGAUUCCCGGCUGCUUUC
rnacentral:tRNA from 1 species